rnacentral:rRNA from 1 species
CAAGGCCUUGGCGGGUGCUAAUACAUGCAGUCGUACGCACUGGCCCAACUGAUUGAUGGUGCUUGCACCUGAUUGACGAUGGAUCACCAGUGAGUGGCGGACGGGUGAGUAACACGUAGGUAACCUGCCCCGGAGCGGGGGAUAACAUUUGGAAACAGAUGCUAAUACCGCAUAACAGCAAAAGCCACAUGGCUUUUGCUUGAAAGAUGGCUUUGGCUAUCACUCUGGGAUGGACCUGCGGUGCAUUAGCUAGUUGGUAAGGUAACGGCUUACCAAGGCGAUGAUGCAUAGCCGAGUUGAGAGACUGAUCGGCCACAAUGGAACUGAGACACGGUCCAUACUCCUACGGGAGGCAGCAGUAGGGAAUCUUCCACAAUGGGCGCAAGCCUGAUGGAGCAACACCGCGUGAGUGAAGAAGGGUUUCGGCUCGUAAAGCUCUGUUGUUGGAGAAGAACGUGCGUGAGAGUAACUGUUCACGCAGUGACGGUAUCCAACCAGAAAGUCACGGCUAACUACGUGCCAGCAGCCGCGGUAAUACGUAGGUGGCAAGCGUUAUCCGGAUUUAUUGGGCGUAAAGCGAGCGCAGGCGGUUGCUUAGGUCUGAUGUGAAAGCCUUCGGCUUAACCGAAGAAGUGCAUCGGAAACCGGGCGACUUGAGUGCAGAAGAGGACAGUGGAACUCCAUGUGUAGCGGUGGAAUGCGUAGAUAUAUGGAAGAACACCAGUGGCGAAGGCGGCUGUCUGGUCUGCAACUGACGCUGAGGCUCGAAAGCAUGGGUAGCGAACAGGAUUAGAUACCCUGGUAGUCCAUGCCGUAAACGAUGAGUGCUAGGUGUUGGAGGGUUUCCGCCCUUCAGUGCCGGAGCUAACGCAUUAAGCACUCCGCCUGGGGAGUACGACCGCAAGGUUGAAACUCAAAGGAAUUGACGGGGGCCCGCACAAGCGGUGGAGCAUGUGGUUUAAUUCGAAGCUACGCGAAGAACCUUACCAGGUCUUGACAUCUUGCGCUAACCUUAGAGAUAAGGCGUUCCCUUCGGGGACGCAAUGACAGGUGGUGCAUGGUCGUCGUCAGCUCGUGUCGUGAGAUGUGGGUAGUCCCGCACGAGCGCCAACCCUUGGUACUAGUGCCAGCAUUAAGUUGGCACUUUAGGUGAGAACUGCCCGGUGG